rfam:Arabidopsis thaliana chromosome 3, complete sequence.
AACGAUGUCCUUGGAGAAAUAUGCGUCAAUGGAGUCCGUCUUCUUGAGAAGCAUUUUUGAGUGAGAAUGAUUCUCAUGAUGGAUAUGUCUUCAAGGACUUCUUU